GCACGGGGGCAACCCUGGUGGCGAGUGGCGAACGGGUGAGUAAUAUAUCGGAACGUGCCCGAUCGUGGGGGAUAACGUASCGAAAGUUACGCUAAUACCGCAUACGAUCUACGGAUGAAAGCGGGGGACCGUAAGGCCUCGCGCGAACGGAGCGGCCGAUAUCAGAUUAGGUAGUUGGUGGGGUAAAGGCCCACCAAGCCAACGAUCUGUAGCUGGUCUGAGAGGACGACCAGCCACACUGGGACUGAGACACGGCCCAAACUCCUACGGGAGGCAGCAGUGGGGAAUUUUGGACAAUGGGCGAAAGCCUGAUCCAGCCAUUCCGCGUGCAGGACGAAGGCCUUCGGGUUGUAAACUGCUUUUGUACGGAACGAAAAGGUUUCAGCUAAUACCUGGGACUCAUGACGGUACCGUAAGAAUAA
rnacentral:rRNA from 1 species